AGUUUCUAAUAUCAUUAAGGAAGGAAAAGUUCUGGAUCCAAAUCAAAAAAAUUGAAGAAAUCACUGGAAAAAGUUUCCAGUGACUCAGAAGUUCUGGAUCCUUCUCUUCGAAAAGUUGUUGAAAAACAGACAAAUGCUGAAUUAGCUUUUGAAAAAGCUCGUGACAAAAGGUUAGUUGAACAGAUUAUGGAACGUGCCUCCAAGUCACACAAGGAACGAAUUAUGGAUUUCAACCGGCACUUGGACACUCUCACUGAACACUUUGACAUUCCCAAAGUCAGCUGGACAAAAUGAAAGAUUCACAAGGCUUCGUCUCAUUUUCUUUGUACAGAACAUCUGAUAAUAAAUUUUUUAAAACUAUU
rnacentral:misc_RNA from 1 species